rnacentral:rRNA from 1 species
UACGUAGGGGGCAAGCGUUGUCCGGAAUCAUUGGGCGUAAAGAGCGUGUAGGCGGCCAGAUAAGUCCGCUGUGAAAACUCGAGGCUCAACUUCGAGCUGUCGGUGGAAACUUUCUGGCUAGAGUCCGGAAGGGGAGAAUGGAAUUCCUGGUGUAGCGGUGAAAUGCGCAGAUAUCAGGAAGAACACCCGUGGCGAAGGCGGUUCUCUGGGACGGUACUGACGCUGAGACGCGAAAGCGUGGGGAGCGAACAGG